GACGAACGCUGGCGGCGUGCCUAAUACAUGCAAGUCGAACGCUUCUUUCCUCCCGAGUGCUUGCCCUCAAUUGGAAAGAGGAGUGGCGGACGGGUGAGUAACACGUGGGUAACCUACCCAUCAGAGGGGGAUAACACUUGGAAACAGGUGCUAAUACCGCAUAACAGUUUAUGCCGCAUGGCAUAAGAGUGAAAGGCGCUUUCGGGUGUCGCUGAUGGAUGGACCCGCGGUGCAUUAGCUAGUUGGUGAGGUAACGGCUCACCAAGGCCACGAUGCAUAGCCGACCUGAGAGGGUGAUCGGCCACACUGGGACUGAGACACGGCCCAGACUCCUACGGGAGGCAGCAGUAGGGAAUCUUCGGCAAUGGACGAAAGUCUGACCGAGCAACGCCGCGUGAGUGAAGAAGGUUUUCGGAUCGUAAAACUCUGUUGUUAGAGAAGAACAAGGACGUUAGUAACUGAACGUGCCCUGACGGUAUCUAACCAGAAAGCCACGGCUAACUACGUG
rnacentral:rRNA from 1 species